AUUCACAGCGUAUGACACUGCUGUCAUCAUGUCUCCUGGAUUCCUUUUUUUUUUCCCUAUAACAGCUCUAUCAAGCUAUAAUUCACAUGCCUUAAAAUUCACCUUUUUUGAAAUGUACAACUGAGUGAUUUGUAAUAUAUUCACAGAGUUGUGCAAUCUUAACAACUACUUAAUUCCAGAACAUUUACAUCACUUCAAAGAAACCCCAUACCCUAUAGCAGUCACUCCCAAUUCUCUUCUUCCACCCAUUCCCUGGAAACCACUAAUCUACUUUCCGUCUCUUUGGAUUUAACUACUCAGGACAUUUUAUAGUCAGCACGUAAGCCGGACUGUCUAGGAAAACCUCCCCUUCCUGUGUCUGGAGGUGUUGAAAAAAAUAAUUCAACAAUGCUGCCCCUGCUGGCCACCAGUGUACCAUGCAAUAAUUCCAUGGCCCCUGCCACAGCCCAGGAAAUGGAGGAAAUGGCCAGGCAGCCACAUUCUCUCAUCCUGCAGAAGGACCCUUCUAGGUGUUAGAGGUUGAGGGAUUUUGGCUACAUAUGGCCCCAUACAUCUUCCUAGCUAUAGAUUCCAAUGGAAGAAGAGAACUUUCUUUCCUCUACUGAGUGCAUAUAAACUUCUGCAUCUUGCUUCUGGCCUCAACUUGAUCUUCAGCAUCAACAUCAAGCAGAGCAGCAUGAGAUGCAGUGCAAUGAAUAAACAGUUCUUGGUCACGGGCUUGCCCUUGCAGUCUGGAAAGAAAAUCCUGCAACUGAGAGAGCCACCAUGAUUUCCUGAAGUAUUUGGUGAAGAACCAUUCUCCAAACGUGAAGUCAGGAGAUAUGUAUUGCUAUUAUCAGAGCUGAGGAAAAGACACUAGAAGUUUGAAAUCUCAGAUGUCCACAGCAUCAUGACACAUAGUUAGGAUUCCAUGCUGAAUAGAAGGGGGAACCUACUGAAGAGUUUUCAGCAGAAGAGAGACCCAAUAAAACUUGCGUGUAAAUUAUAACCAUUGCUUCUGUAUAGCAUUCUGAUUGGAGAGUCAGGUAUAGAUGCACAGAGAGCAGUUAGAAGGUUAUUAUAGUAGUCUAGAAGUGACUGUGGACUUGUAGGGAAAUGGCAAAUAUUUAGAAAACAAAUUCAAUAACACUCAGCAAUCAGUUGGACUUGGGGUAUGAGGAAGGGAGAAAUGUCUGGUCUGAUUCCAUCACAAGGCCUUGUAUAUGCUGUUCCCUUUGCCUAAAAAUUCCCUUAGCUCCUCUUUUAACCUGGCGAAAUGUUGCUCCUUCAUCAGGUCUCAGCUUGAGCAUCUCUUCUCCAGGGAAAUUGAUCCUCUUGCCUUUCCCCUGUUUAAUUUCCCUUCCCAUCACUUAUCACAGUUUAUAACGUUAUAUUCACUCACUUAUAAAGUACUUUCUUAAAUAUUUUAGCUCCUCUACAAGGAUGUAUAAUCCUUGAAGCAGGAGCUGUUCCCACCCAAGAAAAUGAAAAUCUCAGUCAUUAAGUACACAAACACGGGUCCAGAUUGCUUGGUUUCAAAUCUUGGUUCUGCUACUGGCCAGCUGUGUGAUCCAAGAAAAGCUACUCGACUUCUCUGUGUCUUCAUCUGCUCAUCUGUCAAAUGGAUAUAUGAGUAGUCCUACUUCAUGGAGUUGUUGCGAGGAAUCCAUUAGUACCUCUCCUAGUGCCUGCAGCCACGCAAUACAUAUUUGAAAAGUAAGUGGAAAUCUGUCAAGUGUAAGUUACUGUGUGGAUAUUGGUGUGAUGCACAGAGAAGAGGAAGCACUGGAAGAUGAUCAUGGAAGGGAGAGAAGGCAAGCUUGCAAAAUCAGCAUUGGCUAUUUAAAUAAUAUCUGCCUAUGAUGCUGUCAAGGAAAAAUGUUGUGGAGCCGUUGGAAAUGUGACAUUGAAGCUCAAAACAGAGGCCUGAGGGGAUUGAUUAAUUUCCCAGAGCCGCCAUAAUAAGGUACCACAAACUAGGUGGUUUAAAACAAUAAACAUUUAUUGUAUCACAGUUCUGGUGGCCAGAAGUCUGAAAUCAGGUAUUGGCAGGAUUUUGCCCCCUGAAGGGCCCUAGGGAAGGAUUCUUUCUUGCCAUUCCAGCUUCUGGUGGUCCCAAGUGAUCAUUGGCUUGCAGUAGCAUCACCCCAGUGUCUGCCCCUGUCUUCACAUGGCCUUCACUCUAUCUGAGUCCAAAUCUCCCUUUUCCUACGAGGAUAGCAGUCAUGUUGCAUAAAGGGUCCAACUACUCCAGUGUGACUUCAUCUUAACUACUUACAUCUGCCACAGUCCUACUUUCAAGAAAGUUCACAUUCUGAGGUAUUAAGGCAAUCAGUGUUUCAGUGUAUCUUUUGAGAGGACAUAAUUUCACCCACAACAGAAGUGAUAUACAUUUGGGGGUUACUGGCAUUUGAAUGCUAUUUUGAGCCAAGGCUAUAGAGAAGAGCAGCCUUGUAGCUAAGAGCUCAGGUCCUAUCAAUCCAUACAGACCUGGGAUUGACACUCAGUUCCAUUACUGACUGGCUCAGAUCUUGGUAAAGUUGCCUAACAUUUCGAAGACUUAGUUUCUUAGCCUGUUAAAAAAGGGAUAAUAAAACCUCCAGGUUUCUUGUAAAUAUGAACUGAGGAAAUGAUUGUAAAGUGGUGAGCAUAGCACAUCUUAUAGGGUGAGUCUUCAGUAAAUGGUGUCUGUUAGUUAAGAUUUUGUAUGGAAAGAAUCUAACCUGAGAAAGAAGGAAGAGUGAGGAAUAAAUUUUUAACCAAGAGGAAACACCCCAUUUUAGUUAGAAAUGACCCAAGAGAGCAACCAGAAUAAUGAAAAUACUAUAAAUUAUUUUCUGGUGUUUUGGAUUUAUAUAUAGUUCAAGAAUUUAGCCCUGUGCCUGACCUAAGACAGAUAAUCAAUAUGCAGUUGGAUGGCUAGACUGAAUGAACAUCAGGGACAUAUUUAGCCACCAGAAGAGGAGUAUUAAGGGUACAUAGGUAGGGAAAGAGGAUUGAAAGUUACCUAGAAAUCUGGAAGGCUCUGAUGCAGAAGAGAUAUUAUACCUACUCUGUAAAUGUGGAACUAGAACUAGGGGAUAGAAAUUAUAGGGAGAAUCAUUUUUACUCAAUACUGAACAUUUGCUGAGGUCCCCAAUCCUCAAUGUUUGCAAACAGAGAUGGAUAACACCUAGCCAAAUCAUUUAUACAAGGUGUCUUUGUACUGGGGAGAUGGUUGGAUUAGAGGUCUGAUAAAUUUAUUUCCACCUGUGAUUCCAAAUUGAUGUUAAAGAGACUAUAAAUAAGAAACAUUUAUUAGAUGAAAGGAAUAUGAUAGACACAAUUUAAGAAGAGACAUUAAGCAGUAUAAAAUUCCUUCCUAUCUAAUUUAGUUUCUAACUCAGCUCUAUUUUCAAAGGCCAAAGCUACCAGCCCUUGAAUUCCCAUUACACUUAUUCUCCCUUAUGUUAGAUUUUAUAUGGAGGAGGACCAACAGUUUUUGAGAAGCACCUCUGGAUCAAAACAAUGAUCCGUAAUUCCUUAAGUAAAAGCUAGUAAUCAUAUUAAUGUUCUUUAGAAGAAAGAAAGCCAAGCCAGGAUAGUAAAACAGAAAGCAUUUCCCAUCAUUUUUGGAUAAGGCAGAAGACAAAGUCCAGUUUCUUUCGAGUCUGAAGGGGAAGUUUAAAAUUUUCAGGACUAUAAAGGACAAUGCAAGAGAGGCAUUGAAGCGAUGGGGGAAGAAAACAGUAGGGGGUUCCCUAUUUUAAAACCACUUCUGAAGUGAAUUCUAGCUUCAUCUUGCCUUCAUUCCCAGCUCCAUCCUUGGGAAUGAAAGAUUUAUUCUUCUAGCUGCCUGGAAUUCUGCUGGCUGAGAGCUCUACAUUGCCAGGCUUCUUCAGGAAUUGCCCGAGUGGAACAGGGCCACCUUGCCCACAGGUAUUCCCUUCCUUGAGCAACCCUCAUUUAGUGAUUGAUCAAUUAAUGCAUCAAAAGGUCUGACAUAUUCUUCAAUCAUUUUUUAAGAUCACUGUAUUUAUUUGAAAAAAUUGCCAAAGAAGAUUGUUUCUUUGCGAUUUUGUGUUAUUAUUAUUAUUAAACAGCUUUAGUGAGGUAUAAUGGAUAUAAAAUAAACUGCACUUAUUUAUGUAUAAAUAGAAUGACUUUGGAUAUAUGCAUAUACCUGUGAAAUCAUCACUACAAUCAAGGUAAUAGGGAAAUCAAUCACCUCCAAAAGUUUUCUUCCAUUGCAAUUUUAAAAGAUGUGUUUUAUAUACCAUGUAGAUAAAAAUGGAAAAUUGGAGCAAAAAAAACAACUUCUUUUUAUGAGAACGUUAAAAAAAAUAUUUUCUAGAUGUACCAAUUAAAACAUGCUUAAAAUAAUUGCACAUUUAUCCAAUUUAGAAAUAUGUCCAGUAGCCAUUAUCAUUCUGAAUGUUCACUUUUAAUUUUCGACAUGGAUCUACAUCGGUAUAGAAAACUGCACACUUUCCUUUUCUCUGCAAAUACGGCACAAUUUUAUUAGUUAUUAUUCUCAUGUUAUACAAUAGAUCACUGGUCUUGUUCAUCCUACAUAUCUGCCACUUUGUAACCUCUAACCUACUUAUCCCCAUUUUCUUCCCACCCCCAGCUCCUGGUGACAACUCUUUUAUACUCCAUCUCUGUAUAUUUUUACUCUUCUUUAAAGAUUCCACAUGUAAGUGAGAUUAUGCAACAUUUUUUUGUGUCUGUCUUAUUUCACUUAGCAGAAUAUCAUCCACAUCCAUCUAUUUUGGGACAAAUGCUGGGGUCUUCAUUUUUAAGGUUGAAUAAUAUUUCAUUGUGUAUGUGUGUGUAUAUUAGGCAGAUAAUCAAUAAGCAAUUGAAUGACAAAAUUGAAUGAAUAUUAAGGACACAUACACACACUUUUUUAUCCAUUCAUUUGUCAAGGCAUACUUAGGUUGUUUCCAUAUCUUGGCUAUUUGUGAAUAAUGUUGCAAUGAUCAUGAGAGUCCAGAUAUCUUUAUGGAGUGAUUAUUUCACUUCCUUUUGGUAUAUGACCAGAAAAGGAACUGCUGGGUCAUAUGAUAGUUCUAUUUUUAAUUUCUUUUGGAAGCUCCACACUGUUUCCAUUAUGGCUACACCAAUCUACAUCUCUACCAACAGUGUACAAGGGUUCCCUUUUCUCCACAUCAACAUUUUUGCCAACAUUUGCUAUUUCUUGACUUUUUGAUAAUAGCCAUCCUAAGGAAUGUGAGGUGAUAACUCAUAGUGGGUUUGAUUUGCAUUUUCUUAGUGACUAAAAUGUUGAGCACAUUUUCAUAUAUCUGUGGGCCAUUUUUUAUGCCUUCUUCUCUAUUCAGGUCCUUUGCCCAAUUUUUAAUUGGGUUGCUUGUUUUUCUACUGUUGAGGUGUGUGAGUGCUUUAUACAUUUUGGAUACUAACCCCUUAUCAGAGAUAUGGUUUGUAAACAUAUUUUUCCCAAUCCAUAGGCUGCUGUUUCAUUUUUUUGAUUGUUUCCUUUAUGUAGAAGCUUCUUGGUUUGAUGUAGUAAUAUUUAUUUAUUUAUUGUUAUACAGCCUAAGAUUUUGGUAUAGUAUCCAAAUAUCAUUGCCAAGGCCAGUGUCAAGGAACUUUCCACCCAUGUUCUCCUCAAGGAAUGUUAUGGUCUCAGGUCUUACAUUUAACUCUUUUAUCUAUUUUGAGUUGAUUUUUGCAUAUGGUAUAAAAAUCCAAUUUUACUCUUUUACAUAUGGAAAUAAAGUUUUCCUAGUGCCAUUUACUAAAGAAACUAUUCUUUCCCAAUUGUGUUCUCUUGGUGCCCUUGUCAAAACUUAGUUGACCCUAUGUGUUCUAAUUGAUUUCUGGGCUCUGUAUUCUAUUCCACUGGUCGAUAUGUCUGUUUUAAUGGCAGUACCCAUACAGUUUUAAUUACUGUAGUUUUAUAAAAUAAUUUUAAAUCAGUAAUUAUAAUGCCCCAAUUUUCUUUUGCUUGCUUAGAAUUGCUGUGGCAAUUUUUUUAGUUCCUAAGAAAUUGUGGAAUUAUUUUUCCUAUUUCUGUGACAAAUGCCACUGCUAUUUUUACAGGGAUUGAAUCUUUAUGUAGCUUUGAAUAGUAAGAACAUUUUAACAAUAUUGAUUCUUUGAAUCUAUGAGCAUAGGAUGUCUUUUCGUUUAUUUGUAUCUUAUUUAACUUGUUGCAUCAGUGGGCUUGGUUACAUUUAUUCCCAGGUAUUUAUAUGCUAUCAUAAAUGUGAUUGUUUUAUUGACAUAUUUUUCAGCUAAGUUAUUAUUUAUGUAUAAAAAUGCUACUAAUUUUUUGGGUGUUGAUUUUGUAUCCUGCAACUUUACUUAAUUCAUUUAUUAGUUCUAAAAGUUUGUGUGUGUGUGUGUGUAUACACUCUGGGGUUUUCUACGUAUAAAAUCAUGUCAUCUGCAAAUAGAAAUAAUUUUACUUCUUUUUUUUUCCAAUUUGGGUGUCUUUGUUUUAUUUUCUUCCUGUUUGAUUAGUCUUGCUAAUACUUCCAGUACCAUGUUGAAUAAAAAAGGCAAAAGUAAACACCCUUGCCUUGUGUAGGAUUGUAGUAAAUAUCCUUUCAGCUUUUCUUCAUUGAUCAUGACGUUAGUUGUGAGUUUUUUUAAAUAAAUGAUCUUUAUUAUGUUGAGAAACUUUCCUUUUAUACCUAAACUGUUGAUGGCUUUUAUCAAGAGAGAAAGUUGACCUUUGUUGAAUGCUUUUUCUGUGUAAAGUGGGAUAAUUACGUGGUUUUAAGCUUUCAUUCUGUUAAUAUGAUGUAUCACAUUUAUUGAUUUGCAUAUGUUAAACCAGACUUGCAUGCCGAGGAUAAAUUCCGCUUAAUCAGGAUGUAUAAUCUUUUUGUUACGUUGAAUUUGUUAAUAUUUUAUUAAGGAUUUCUGCAUCAAUGAUUCUCAGAGAAAUUGACCUGUAAUUUUCUUUUAUUGUGAUAUAGCUGCCUGGCUUAGAUAUUAAGGUGAUACUUUUCUCAUCAAAUGUGUUUGGAAGUACUACCUCUAGUUUUAUUUUGUGGAAGAGUUUCAGGAGUAUUAGUAUGAAUGAAUUCUUCUUUGAAUGUUUGGUAGAAGUUAUCUAUGAAGCCAUCUGCUUCUCGGGUUUUCUUUGUUGAGAGGUGUUUUAUUACUUCUUUAAUAUCUUUAUUUGUUAUUGUUCUGUUCAAGCUCUCUACCUCUUCCUGUUUCAAAUCUUGGUAGGUUGUAUUUUUCUAGGAAUUUAUCCAUUUCCUCUAGCCUAUUUAAUUUGUUUGCAUGUAAUUGUUCAUAAUAGCCCUUUAUGAUCCUUUUUAUUUCUGAGGCAAAUGUUGUAAUGUCUCUACUUUCAUUGUUGAUUUUAUUUAUUGUUUUUCAUUUAUCCUUACUUAGUCUAGCUAAGGGUUUGUUGAUUUUAUUUUUGUUAAAAAACUCUUAGUUCUAUUUGUUUUUCUAUGGUGUUUGCAUUUUCUAUUUGAUUUAUUUCUGUUUUGAUCUUUACUAUUUCUUUUCUUUUGCGAACUUUGAGUUUAGUAUGCUCCUCUUUUUCCAGUCCCUUGAGGUGUAAUGUUAGAUUAUUUACUUUGAAUCUCCCUUCUUCUUAUUUUGUUUUGAGACAGGGUCUCAUUCUGUUGCCCAUGCUGGAGUGCAGUGGCACAAUCCUGGCUCACUGAAACCUCCACUUCUGGGGCUCAAGCAAUCCUCCCAUCUCAGUCUCUUGAAUAGCUGGGACUACAGGCACGCAUCACCAUGGCAAGCUGAUUUUUGUAUUUUUUUUGUAGAGAUGAGGUUUCACCAUGGUGCCCAGGCUGGUCUUGAACUAAUGGGCUCAAGUUAUCCACCUGCCUACACCUCCCAAAGGGCUGGGAUUACUGGUGUGAGCCACCAUGCCUGGCCCUCUUUCUUGUUUUUUAAUAUAGACAUUUAUUGCUAUGCACUUCCCUCUUAAAACUACUUUUGUUGCCUCCCAUAGGUUGUGUUUUGCUGUGUUUCCAUUACAUUUGUCUCCAUAUACUUUUAGAUUUCCCUUGUGAUUUAUUGUUUGACCCAUUGGUUGUUUCUUUAUCCAAUCUUGCCUUCCCUUCCAUAGAUAUUGAUUCUGAAAGCACAACCAACCUUUCUGUACUCUGAUCUCUGUCUUAAAGUCUCCUUCUUAGCAAACCAACCUGUGCUUUCUUCUUUCAUAUCUUUUCUCCUUUCAGCUACAAUCUGAUUUUUCUUGUGUUUACAGCAAAACUGAAAAGAUUUUUUUAUAUUCAUCAUUUUCACAUCCUUACCUUCCAUUUUCUCUUGAACACACAACAAUUAGACUUAGUUGCUGCUGCUCCAUAGAAACUGUUCUUGUCAAGGUCACCACAAAUUCAUCCUGUCAAGUCCCAUCAUCCUCAUGUUGGAUUACCUCUCAGCAACAUCUGCCAUAGUUAAAUAAUCUUCUUCCCAAGAAUGUACUUGGUUCCUGGGAUAUCACACUCACUUGGUUUUCCUUUCCUCACUUGCUGUUUCUUCUCAGUAUCUUUUGCUGGGUCACCUUCAUCUUUCCAAUCUUUAAAUGUCUGUGAACUCCAGAACUUCAUCCUUGACUUUCUUAUUCAUCUUCAAUUACUCCCUAGGUCAAAAAUCAGCAAACUUUUCCCAUAAAAGACCAGAUAGUAAAUAUUUUAAACUUUAGGGCAAUGUGGUUUCUGCUGCACCUACUUAACUCUGCCAUUGUAGUGCAAAAGUUUCCAUAUAGAAUAUACAAAAACAAACAUUUUCAUGUUCCAAUAAAAACAACCAAUGGCCAUAUUUGGACUGAUGGUUAUAGUUUGUAGAUCUCUGUUCUAUGUAAUCUCAUCUGGUUCCACAACUUUAAAUGUUAUUACUGACUACCGUAAAUUCCAGACUGAGAUAGUUAAGCUGCUACUUGGCAUCGCUCAAAAGUAGUAUGUACUAAAAGGAAACUUUGGACUUUUGUUGAUCUAUUCCUCAACCUGUUUCUCUCCCAGUCUUUCUUACUGGCAAUGCAAGACACAUCACCAUUUGCGCCUUAUUGAUACCACCUCAUUACCUUUAUCCUUCAUUGCCAGCCAGGUUCAAGACAUGAAAUUCAUUCAUCUGGAUUAGUUCAGUAGUAUUGAGCAGGUCUUUCUGCUUUCCCUCUAAGCUCCCAAGAGCCUAGUCUUUGUAGAAUGGCAAAAAUAAAUUUCUUGAACAUUUCUUUUAAAAAAGAAAAUUAGAUUUUAACAUUUCCUUCUCAUUUUGAACAAAUUUCAAGCUUCUUCCCAAGACCCAGAAGGUCCCAAAUGAUCUGGUCUUUCCUCACGUUUGUGGUUUUGUGGUCUGUUCUUCAUGCUCAUUCCCUCCCAGCCACACUUGUCUUUUUGCUGUUUUGAGUGUUCAGUUUAUACUUGCCAUGAGGCCUUUGCUGACCCCUCUAUUUGGAAAUAUUUUCCCCCAAUUUCUAACUUGCCUCAUAUCCUUAACUAAUUUGGGUUUUUGUUUAAAUAUCAUCUCUUCAGAGAAAGAUGUUUUGAUUCCCUAUCUUAAUAGAUUCCUCCCAUCAUUACCCAGUUCCUUUUUACCUUGCUUUAUCUUUUAAAAACGAUACUUAAUGAGUACCAAAAAUUAUUUUGUACAUUUAUUUCUUUAUUUGUUAUUUCCCUCUACUACAA
rnacentral:lncRNA from 1 species